rnacentral:rRNA from 1 species
UACAGAGGUCUCGAGCGUUAGGCGGAAUCACUGGGCUUAAAGCGUGUGUAGGCGGGUCGUUAAGUACCUUGUGAAAUCCCAUGGCUCAACCAUGGAACUGCUUGGUAUACUGGCGAUCUUGUGCAACCUAGGGGCGAGCGGAACAGAUGGUGGAGCGGUGAAAUGCGUAGAUAUCAUCUGGAACGCCAAUGGUGAAAACAGCUCGCUGGGGGUUUGCAGACGCUGAGGCGCGAAAGCGUGGGGAGCAAACGGG